UACGUAGGUGGCAAGCGUUGUCCGGAUUUAUUGGGUUUAAAGGGUGCGUAGGCGGCCCCAUAAGUCAGUGCUGAAAUACUCUAGCUUAACUAGAGGGGUGGCAUUGAUACUGCGGGGCUUGAGUGGAGUCGAGGUAGGCGGAAUUGACGGUGUAGCGGUGAAAUGCUUAGAUAUCGUCAAGAACACCGAUAGUGUAGACAGCUUACUAGGCUUCAACUGACGCUGAGGCACGAAAGUGUGGGGAUCAAACAGG
rnacentral:rRNA from 1 species